UCCUUAUUGGAUAUUCCUUGACAACAACAACAACACGCUUCACCAUCUUGUAUACUUCCGUCAAUUUUCUCGUAAAACAGUUUAUUUCUCCUCCUCCUGGACAUUACAGCAAGUGUUUGAUACUGUGAUGUCACAUCUCAAGACCAAGUGUAAUUAAGUAGAAGUUCACAAUGUCAAGCAGAGAUAAAAAGUUCUCCUGUGAGGAAUGUGGCAAACAGUUUUGCUUAAAGUCUACUCUUCAGACACAUUUACUUGUGCACAAUGGUAUGAAGGAGUUUGAAUGUGAGGAAUGUGGGAAACAUUUGU